AAUGUUUAUUUCAUCUGCUUAAUCCCACAGGGGGUUAUAGGAAUUCCUAUAAACAGUUGAUCCAUCUGUCAAUAAGAGUUUAUUUCGGCUCCAUAUUUCCUUCAUGAAUUUUCAUGAAACUUGUUUUGUAAUUUGAGAUGAUGUGCUAAAUAUAUUAGUCAGGCUGGCAGCUCUAGGUCAAAGUCGCAUUUGAAGGUGGACGUUUGAGCAUGUAUAUUAGUCAGGCUGGCAGCUCUAGGUCAAAGUCACAUUUGAAGGUGGACGUUUGAGCAUGUAUAUUAGUCAGGCUGGCAGCUCUACGUCAAAGUCACAUUUGAAGGUGGACGUUUGAGCAUGUAUAUUAGUCAGGCUGGCAGCUCUACGUCAAAGUCACAUUUGAAGGUGGACGUUUGAGCAUGUAUAUUAGUCAGGCUGGCAGCUCUACGUCAAAGUCACAUUUGAAGGUGGACGUUUGAGCAUGUAAAUUAGUCAGGCUGGCAGCUCUAGGUCAAAGUCACAUUUGAAGGUGGACGUUUGAGCAUGUAUAUUAGUCAGGCUGGCAGCUCUACGUCAAAGUCACAUUUGAAGGUGGACGUUUGAGCAUGUAUAUUAGUCAGGCUGGCAGCUCUACGUCAAAGUCACAUUUGAAGGUGGACGUUUGAGCAUGUAUAUUAGUCAGGCUGGCAGCUCUACGUCAAAGUCACAUUUGAAGGUGGACGUUUGAGCAUGUAUAUUAGUCAGGCUGGCAGCUCUACGUCAAAGUCACAUUUGAAGGUGGACAUUUGAGCAUGUAUAUUAGUAAGGCUGGCAGCUGUACGUCAAAGUCACAUUUGAAGGUGGACG